GAUGAAGAACGCAGCGAAAUGCGAUAAGUAAUGUGAAUUGCAGAAUUCAGUGAAUCAUCGAGUCUUUGAACGCACAUUGCGCCCCCUGGCAUUCCGGGGGGCAUGCCUGUCCGAGCGUCAUUGCUGCCAUUCAAGCCCGGCUUGUGUGUUGGGUCGUCGUCCCCCCCGGGGGACGGGCCCGAAAGGCAGCGGCGACACCGCGUCCGGUCCUCGAGCGUAUGGGGCUUUGUCACCCGCUCGAUUAGGGCCGGCCGGGCGCCAGCCGGCGUCUCCAACCUUCUAUUUUACCAGGUUGACCUCGGAUCAGGUAGGGAUACCCGCUGAACUUAAGCAUAUCAAUAAGCGGAGGA
rnacentral:misc_RNA from 1 species